AUGGGCGCAGCCUGAUGCAGCGACGCCGCGUGCGGGAUGACGGCCUUCCNGUUGUAAACCGCUUUUGACUGGGAGCAAGCCCUUCGGGGUGAGUGUACCUUUCGAAUAAGCACCGGCUAACUACGUGCCAGCAGCCGCGGUAAUACGUAGGGUGCAAGCGUUAUCCGGAAUUAUUGGGCGUAAAGGGCUCGUAGGCGGUUCGUCGCGUCCGGUGUGAAAGUCCAUCGCUUAACGGUGGAUCUGCGCCGGGUACGGGCGGGCUUGAGUGCGGUAGGGGAGACUGGAAUUCCCGGUGUAACGGUGAAAUGCGUAGAGAUUGGGAGGAACACCAGUGGCGAAGGCGGCUUGCUGGACUGUAACUGACGCUGAUGCUCGAAAGUGUGGGUAUCAAACAGGAUUAGAUACCCUGGUAGUCCAAGGGCGAAUUC
rnacentral:rRNA from 1 species